rnacentral:rRNA from 1 species
UCCUACGGGGGGCAGCAGUGGGGAAUAUUGCACAAUGGGGGAAACCCUGAUGCAGCAACGCCGCGUGGGUGAAGGAGCGUUUCGGCGCGUAAAGCCCUGUCAGCGGGGAAGAAGAAAGACGGUAUCCGAAGAAAAAGCAUCGGCUAACUCCGUGCCAGCAGCCGCGGUAAUACGGAGGAUGCGAGCGUUAUCCGGAUUUAUUGGGUUUAAAGGGUGCGUAGGCGGUCUGUUAAGUCAGCGGUAAAAUUGCGGGGCUCAACCCCGUCGAGCCGUUGAAACUGGCAGACUUGAGUUGGCGAGAAGUA